rnacentral:rRNA from 1 species
CAAUUUAAACAACGAAGAGUUUGAUCCUGGCUCAGGAUGAACGCUAGCGACAGGCUUAACACAUGCAAGUCGAGGGGCAGCACAGGUAGCAAUACCGGGUGGCGACCGGCGCACGGGUGAGUAACGCGUAUGCAACUUACCUAUCAGAGGGGGAUAACCCGGCGAAAGUCGGACUAAUACCGCAUGAAGCAGGGGCCCCGCAUGGGGAUAUUUGCUAAAGAUUCAUCGCUGAUAGAUAGGCAUGCGUUCCAUUAGGCAGUUGGCGGGGUAACGGCCCACCAAACCGACGAUGGAUAGGGGUUCUGAGAGGAAGGUCCCCCACAUUGGUACUGAGACACGGACCAAACUCCUACGGGAGGCAGCAGUGAGGAAUAUUGGUCAAUGGGCGUAAGCCUGAACCAGCCAAGUCGCGUGAGGGAUGAAGGUUCUAUGGAUCGUAAACCUCUUUUAUAAGGGAAUAAAGUGCGGGACGUGUCCCGUUUUGUAUGUACCUUAUGAAUAAGGAUCGGCUAACUCCGUGCCAGCAGCCGCGGUAAUACGGAGGAUCCGAGCGUUAUCCGGAUUUAUUGGGUUUAAAGGGUGCGUAGGCGGCCUUUUAAGUCAGCGGUGAAAGUCUGUGGCUCAACCAUAGAAUUGCCGUUGAAACUGGGAGGCUUGAGUAUGUUUGAGGCAGGCGGAAUGCGUGGUGUAGCGGUGAAAUGCUUAGAUAUCACGCAGAACCCCGAUUGCGAAGGCAGCCUGCCAAGCCAUGACUGACGCUGAUGCACGAAAGCGUGGGGAUCAAACAGGAUUAGAUACCCUGGUAGUCCACGCAGUAAACGAUGAUCACUAGCUGUUUGCGAUACAGUGUAAGCGGCACAGCGAAAGCGUUAAGUGAUCCACCUGGGGAGUACGCCGGCAACGGUGAAACUCAAAGGAAUUGACGGGGGCCCGCACAAGCGGAGGAACAUGUGGUUUAAUUCGAUGAUACGCGAGGAACCUUACCCGGGUUUGAACGCAUUCGGACCGAGGUGGAAACACCUUUUCUAGCAAUAGCCGUUUGCGAGGUGCUGCAUGGUUGUCGUCAGCUCGUGCCGUGAGGUGUCGGCUUAAGUGCCAUAACGAGCGCAACCCUUGCCACUAGUUACUAACAGGUAAAGCUGAGGACUCUGGUGGGACUGCCAGCGUAAGCUGCGAGGAAGGCGGGGAUGACGUCAAAUCAGCACGGCCCUUACAUCCGGGGCGACACACGUGUUACAAUGGCGUGGACAAAGGGAUGC